rnacentral:rRNA from 1 species
UACGUAGGGUCCAAGCGUUAUCCGGAAUUACUGGGCGUAAAGAGUUGCGUAGGUGGCAGAGUAAGUUGGUAGUGAAAUCGUUCGGCUCAACCGAAUACACAUUACCAAAACUGCUCAGCUCGAAGACAAGAGAGGUACCUGGAAUUCUCAGUGUAGGAGUGAAAUCCGUAGAUAUUGGGAGGAACACCGAUGGCGUAGGCAGGGUACUGGCUUGUUCUUGACACUAAGGCACGAAAGCGUGGGGAGCGAACGGG